rnacentral:sRNA from 1 species
CCCUAGCCCCGAUAGAAGAGGAAAUCCUUUUGUGCCGGUGUUCGGCACAAAAGAUUGUAACGGAUAGCGGGAUUAGCU